rnacentral:rRNA from 1 species
GGGGGGGGGGGGGGGGGGGGGGGGGGGGGGGGAGUCGGGCGGGAGGGGCGGGGGUGGGGGGGGUGCGCGGGGGGGGGACGGGUGAGUGACCCGUGGGUACCCUGCCCGUGGCUGUGUGAUGACUUCAUGGAAGUGGGGCUAAGACCUGAUAUCGUCUCCUGCUGCAUGGUGCGGGUUUGGACGUUUCUGCGGUUGGGGGUGGCCUCGCGUCUUCUCAGAUUGUGCGGGGGGUAGUGGCUUCCCCAGGCUUUGACGGGUAGGCGGCCUGAGAGGGUGACCGGCCACAUUGGGACUGAGAUACGGCCCAGACUCCUACGGGAGGCAGCAGUGGGGAAUAUUGCACAAUGGGCGGAAGCCUGAUGCAGCAACGCCGCGUGCGGGAUGACGGCCUUCGGGUUGUAAACCGCUUUCGCCUGUGACGAAGCGUGAGUGACGGUAAUGGGUAAAGAAGCACCGGCUAACUACGUG